rnacentral:lncRNA from 1 species
UUGCUUUCUACUUCCCUAUUUUCAUCGUCUAUUCUCAAGAUCCUAGCUGACUUAUGCAUCGGAGGAUCCUAAACCAGAGAGUAUCCCAUCGAUUUUUAAAUUUUUUUUGUGGAUGUACUCAUGGCUUACAUCAGUCAGACACCUGACGGCCCUCCAGAUUGGUUCUGCACCGACCUUGUUCUCUUUCCUUCGAAGCCUUGCAGCAAUAGAAUGAUUCUGA